AGGAAAAUGAGGAGACGAAUGUUGUAGUGUCUCAUCAUUGGCGAAGAACAGUGAGGCAGAACAAUGAAGGCGAGAUAUCGUUUCAGUCGUCAUUUUCUCGGAUUGACGAUUCGAUUGUUGCUCGUCCACAU